UUGUGCUAAGGUAGCAUAAUCAUUUGUCUUUUAAUUGAAGACUAGAACAAAAGAUUCAACAAUUUAAUUAAUAUAUAAAAAUUAAUGAUUCAAAUUUAUUUUAAAAGUAAAAAAACUUUUAUUAUUAAGAAAGACGACAAGACCCUAUUAAACUUAACUUUAGUUCAACUGGGGCAGUUAAUCAAUUAUUAUUUUAAUAAAAAUAUAAACACGAAUGAUCCAAUAAAAUUGAUUAAAUGAUCUAGUUACUAUAGGGAUAACAGCGUAAUAUUUAUCUAAAGAUCUCAUUUAAAUAAAAGUUUGCGACCUCGAUGUUGAAUUAAUAACCUAAACUAUUGCAACAAAUAAAAUAAG
rnacentral:rRNA from 1 species